UUGGAGGGCAAGUCUGGUGCCAGCAGCCGCGGUAAUUCCAGCUCCAAUAGCGUAUAUUAAAGUUGUUGCAGUUAAAAAGCUCGUAGUUGAACUUCGGGGUCUACCCAUUGGUCAGGCUUAAUUGUCUGUACUGGUGAGAUGAAUCUCUACCUUCUGAGGAACUUUCAUGCCAUUUAUUUGGUGUGAUGGGAAAUCAGGACUGUUACUUUGAAAAAAUUAGAGUGUUUAAAGCAGGCUAACGUCUGAAUACAUUAGCAUGGAAUAAUGAAAUAGGACGGACUGAUUCUAUUUCGUUGGUUUCUAGGAUCACCGUAAUGAUUAAUAGGGAUAGUUGGGGGCAUUAGUAUUCAAUUGUCAGAGGUGAAAUUCUUGGAUUUAUUGAAGACUAACUACUGCGAAAGCAUUUGCCAAGGAUGUUUUCAUUAAUCAAGAACGAAAGUUAGGGGAUCGAAGACGAUCAGAUACCGUCGUAGUCUUAACCAUAAACUAUGCCGACUAGGGAUCGGACGAAGUUAAUUUUAUAAUGACGCGUUCGGCGCCUUACGGGAAAC
rnacentral:rRNA from 1 species